CCCCUUUCCCAACUGAAAUUAUUUCAUAUUUAAGCCAAAUUCCCAAAAUUUACAAUUUACUCCUGAAAUAUUCUUUCCCAAUUCAUCAAUUUUCUUCCCAAAAUGAUACCAAAAAGCCCUUUCCCAAACCAGUGAGAAAAAGCCCUGACUUAACUUUGCAUGGUUUUAACAUAUGGAAGCAAUUUAACUCUGAAAGUAAAGUGUAUAUAUAUACAUUAUAUAAAUAUACUGAUUAAAAGCCAUAAUAAUGAAUAAUCAAUGAUUAUGAAUGUGAAAGAUUGAAUUAAUGUUAUCCUAGAUAUAAUUCAACAAAUAUUAACCCUUUCAACCCUAUGAAACUUUAGUGGACUCUGCCAUUCAUUUAUCAUUUGAAGUCCAAUAUGGUCAGUAGGGGUGAAAGGGUUAAUAAACCAUGCAAACAUGAUAUUAUACUUAGUGAAGUUGAAAACAUGAGGUCAAUAACAUGAGAUAGUUCAUGAGUGGGUCCAUGUAUGAUGAGUGGAUGUUUUCUGUACUGCAGAAUGUGCAGUGAAAAUUUUUCUUUUCUUUCUUCCUUGUUUGCACUGUACAUCCUUCACUUUUUAUAUAUUUUUUUUAAAAUUUUUGAAUGGCCAGACUACAAUUUAAAUAGACAGCCAUACUUGCUCUGAGGAAGCUAGUCAGGAAUGUUUAGUGGAAGGGUAAAAAUUCUGUUUUGUGUUUAUAUGUAUCUUCAUCUUUUUUGUGUAUGUUUGUCAGUAGGACCUUUUUCUCGAGGAUUAAUCAUGCACUGUUACG